GGUGAACGCUGGCGGCGUGCUUAAGACAUGCAAGUUGAACGGCAGUCUUCGGACUGUAGUGGCGCACGGGUGAGUAACGCGUAACUGACCUACCCCAAAGUCGCGGAUAACGAUUCGAAAGAAUCGCUAAUACGUGAUGUGCUGUCAGAUUGUGUUCUGCCAGUAAAGAUUGAUUGCUUUGGGAUGGGGUUGCGUUCCAUCAGCUAGUUGGUGGGGUAAAGGCCCACCAAGGCGACGACGGAUAGCCGGCCUGAGAGGGUGGCCGGCCACAGGGGCACUGAGACACGGGUCCCACUCCUACGGGAGGCAGCAGUUAGGAAUCUUCCACAAUGGGCGAAAGCCUGAUGGAGCGACGACGCGUGAGGGAUGAAGGUCUUCGGAUCGUAAACCUCUGAACCAGGGACGAAAGACACUUCGGUGGGAUGACGGUACCUGAGUAAUAGCACCGGCUAACUCCGUGCCAGCCGCCGCAGUAAGAC
rnacentral:rRNA from 1 species